UAAAAAUAAAUAAAUAAAUAACUUAUAAAAGCACAAAAUAAACAAAUGAUCCAUCCCUAACAUAUGAUAAGCAUAAUUUUCAUAAAUUUGGAGGAAAAAAGGAACUUUAAUUCUGUGAAAAGAAUUUUGAACUGGUAAAAUUACUGAGAGAACACUAUAUAUUUAAAUCAGGCAAAAUGUGAUGUUCCAUAUAACUCACAACAUUCCAAUUUUUCCGCAAUUAUGUGGUUCUCCAGCCUUUUAAGAAAAAUGCAUUUAAACUAUUGACACUCAGUGGAAGCAGGGGAAGUAACUAUGGAAUCUCAAAACUAUCCCUGUUUCCCUCUUUGUAACUAUUAUGAUUCAAGAAUAGGACUGUUGGAAUAUCACUUGUCGGAACAAGUCCCACAUUGGUAGUGUACAAGAAAAUUACGGGGCAUAUAAAUGCGGCAAACCAAACCAAAAUGGCUUGGACUAUUUUGGUGAUGGGGAGCCCAAUUCAACAUGUAGCCUACUAGUUUGACAUUCACACUAUUGGGUCCAUAAUUCUCAACAUGG
rnacentral:misc_RNA from 1 species